GGGAGGUAGUGACAAUAAAUAACAAUACGGGGCUCUUUUGGGUCUCGUAAUUGGAAUGAGUACAAUUUAAAUCUCUUAACGAGGAACAAUUGGAGGGCAAGUCUGGUGCCAGCAGCCGCGGUAAUUCCAGCUCCAAUAGCGUAUAUUAAAGUUGUUGCAGUUAAAAAGCUCGUAGUUGAAUUUCGGGAUCAGCAAGUUGGUCGUGCCACCGGUAUGCACUGGCUUUGCUGAUUCCUCCUUCUUAUAGAACCGUAAUGCCAUUAAGUUGGUGUUGCGGGAAAACAGGACUGUUACUUUGAAAAAAUUAGAGUGUUUAAAGCAGGCUAGCGCCUGAAUACAUUAGCAUGGAAUAAUGAAAUAGGACGUUCGAACCUAUUUUGUUGGUUUCUAGGAUUGACGUAAUGAUUAAUAGGGAUAGUUGGG
rnacentral:rRNA from 1 species